rnacentral:rRNA from 1 species
UACGUAGGGGGCGAGCGUUGUCCGGAUUUAUUGGGCGUAAAGAGCGUGUAGGCGGCCAGGUAGGUCUGCUGUGAAAACUCGAGGCUCAACCUCGAGACGUCGGCGGAAACCAUCUGGCUAGAGUCCGGAAGAGGAGAGUGGAAUUCCUGGUGUAGCGGUGAAAUGCGCAGAUAUCAGGAGGAACACCGGUGGCGAAGGCGGGUCUCUGGGCCGAUAUUGACGCUGAGGAGCGAAAGCGUGGGGAGCGAACAGG